rnacentral:lncRNA from 1 species
CAAAUAUGUAAACCAACUAAUUUUUGCAAGCAAUUUUGUGGUUUUUGUCUUAUUAUAAGAGUACAAAUAAAUCAUUGUACAAAUGUUACUUUUUGGUCUUCCCUUACAUAAAAACAGCAAGAAAAUUAUUAAUCUAUUCAGAUACAUAGCUGAGAAAUCAACAUAAAAGGAAUAAGUUGAGAUGAAUAACUAUUUGUGAAAAUAAGUUGGUUUACAGAAUUUGAAAAAUAAACAAAAAACACACAUACAUACACCUUGGGCAUCUAUUAUAUUGAUUUCUGUCCUAAUAAAUACACUAUUGACAUCCUUUCAUGAAAACAUAACAAAACCUCAGUUUUGAAUGAAGAAUAAAA